GCGCUCGCUUCGGCAGCACAUCCGCUAAAAUGGGAACAAUACAGAGACGAUUAGCAUGGCCCCCGCGCAAGGAUGGCAUGCGAAUUCACCAAGCGUUUCAUAUUUAA
ensembl:snRNA U6 U6 spliceosomal RNA